UGGCGAAAGCAAUCUUCUGGACGCAAACUGACGCUGAGAUACGAAAGCUAUGGUAGCGAACAGGAUUAGAUACCCUGGUAGUCAUAGCUAUAAACGAUGUUCACUAGGUGUCGGGGCUACGCCUCGGUGCCGCAGCUAACGCAUUAAGUGAACCGCCUGGGAACUACGGCCGCAAGGUUGAAACUCAAAGGAAUUGGCGGGGGCCCGCACAAGCGGUGGAGCAUAUGGCUUAAUUCGAUGCAACGCGAAGAACCUUACCAAGGUUUGACAUGGGUCUGCAAGCGGUAGAAAUAUCGUCGCCUUCGAGGGUGAUCCACAGGUGGUGCAUGGCUGUCGUCAGCUCGUGUUGUGAAAUGUUGGGUUAAGUCCCGCAACGAGCGCAACCCUCAUGUUCUGUUGCCAGCGGGUAAUGCCGGGAACUCGGAACAAACUGCCUCUGUAAAGAGGAGGAAGGUGGGGAUGACGUCAAGUCAUCAUGCCCCUUACAUCUUGGGCUGCACAUAUGCUACAAUGGCCGGUACAAAGAGUCGCUAACCCGCGAGGGCAUGCUAAUCUCAAAAAGCCGGUCUCAGUUCGGAUUGGAGUCUGCAACUCGACUCCAUGAAGUUGGAAUCGCUAGUAACCGCAGGUCAGCAAUACUGCGGUGAAUACGUUCCCGGGCCUUGCACACACCGCCCGUCACAUGACGGAAGUCGGUUCUACCCGAAGCCGCCGCGCUAACCGCAAGGAGGCAGGUGUCGAAGGUAGAGUCGGUAACUGGCGUGAAGUCGUAACAAGGUAACC
rnacentral:rRNA from 1 species